rnacentral:rRNA from 1 species
CCUACGGGAGGCAGCAGUGGGGAAUAUUGCACAAUGGGGGAAACCCUGAUGCAGCAACGCCGCGUGAGUGAUGAAGGUUUUCGGUUUGUAAACCUCUAUCAGCAGGGAAGAAGAUGACGGUACCUGACUAAGAAGCACCGGCUAACUACGUGCCAGCAGCCGCGGUAAUACGGAGGGUGCAAGCGUUAUUCGGAUUUACUGGGCGUAAAGUGAGCGCAGACGGCAGUGCAAGUCAGGAGUGAAAGCCCGGGGCCCAACCCCGGAACUGCUCUGGAAACUGUGCGGCUAGAGUGCUGGAGGGGCAGGCGGAAUUCCUGGUGUAGCGGUGAAAUGCGUAGAUAUCAGGAGGAACACCAGUGGCGAAGGCGGCCUGCUGGACCGUAACUGACGUUGAGGCUCGAAAGCGUGGGGAGCAAACAGGAUUAGAUACCCGUGUAGUC